rnacentral:rRNA from 1 species
AUUGAACGCUGGCGGCAUGCCUUACACAUGCAAGUCGAACGGCAGCACGGGAGCAAUCCUGGUGGCGAGUGGCGAACGGGUGAGUAAAGCAUCGGAACACGCCCAGUCGUGGGGGAUAACGUAGCGAAAGUUACGCUAAUACCGCAUACGAUCUAUGGAUGAAAGCGGGGGAUCGCAAGACCUCGCGCGAUUGGAGCGGCCGAUAUCAGAUUAGGUAGUUGGUGGGGUAAAGGCUCACCAAGCCGACGAUCUGUGGCUGGUCUGAGAGGACGACCAGCCACACUGGGACUGAGACACGGCCCAGACUCCUACGGGAGGCAGCAGUGGGGAAUUUUGGACAAUGGGCGCAAGCCUGAUCCAGCCAUGCCGCGUGCAGGAUGAAGGCCUUCGGGUUGUAAACUGCUUUUGUACGGAACGAAAAGGUUUGACUUAAUACGUUGGACUCAUGACGGUACCGUAAGAAUAAGCACCGGCUAACUACGUGCCAGCAGCCGCGGUAA